rnacentral:rRNA from 1 species
UACGUAGGGCGCAAGCGUUGUCCGGAAUUAUUGGGCGUAAAGAGCUCGUAGGCGGUCUGUCGCGUCUGUUGUGAAAACUCGAGGCUCAACCUCGGGCUUGCAGUGGAUACGGGCAGACUAGAGGUCGGUAGGGGAGUGUGGAAUUCCUGGUGGAGCGGUGAAAUGCGCAGAUAUCAGGAGGAACACCCGUAGCGAAGGCGGCACUCUGGGCCGAUUCUGACACUGAGGAGCGAAAGCGUGGGGAGCGAACAGG